rnacentral:rRNA from 1 species
AGUGAACGCUGGCGGUAGGCCUAACACAUGCAAGUCGAACGGCAGCACAGUAAGAGCUUGCUCUUACGGGUGGCGAGUGGCGGACGGGUGAGGAAUACAUCGGAAUCUACUUUUUCGUGGGGGAUAACGUAGGGAAACUUACGCUAAUACCGCAUACGACCUACGGGUGAAAGCAGGGGAUCUUCGGACCUUGCGCGAUUGAAUGAGCCGAUGUCGGAUUAGCUAGUUGGCGGGGUAAAGGCCCACCAAGGCGACGAUCCGUAGCUGGUCUGAGAGGAUGGUACGCCACACUGGAACUGAGCCACGGUCCAGACUCCUACGGGAGGCAGCAGUGGGGAAUAUUGGACAAUGGGCGCAAGCCUGAUCCAGCCAUACCGCGUGGGUGAAGAAGGCCUUCGGGUUGUAAAGCCCUUUUGUUGGGAAAGAAAAGCAGCAGGUUAAUACCCCGCUGUUCUGACGGUACCCAAAGAAUAAGCACCGGCUAACUUCGUG